AUUAACUUUGAUAAUGUUAAAGAAACGAAAACUUAAUAUAGAAACUGUAUAGUUUGUAAUUGUCAAAUUUGGAUCAUAAUGUUAAUCGUUGUAUUACGUUUUAAAAUCAAGGAAAUGACUAAACAAUACUAGUUUGAUCAUCGAAUGAAAACCUGAUAAAUAAAGAUUUAUACAUUUUGUGUAUAUGAUGUAACAAAGUAAAAAAAAAAUAAUAGUACCUUGGUAGCGAAUUGAAAGUUGAUUUAAUAAACGCGCAAGAUAUGUGAAUCUUAUUGUACAAGUGUAGUGUUUAUUAAAACCCACCAUCGUGAAGGUUACUUAUCAUAUCGAAUAAUCAGAUCUUUUUUAUAUUGCAAAAAUGUGGUUUUAUUUCUUGCUUGCUAUUUUUACGACAUUUAAUUUUGCGAUGGCCUCGUCCAGCUUUGAUUUUGGAGAUACCUUAGCAUUGAUCAUUGGAUUGAUUAUUGGAAUCAUUGGAUUUUUUGCCUGUAUGGGUGCUUAUGCACGGCAUCGAAAUCGUAUGGAAGCAAUAGCAUAAUUAUUAUAAGCACUUCACAACUCCAUUAAUCGCUAUUCAAUACAUAUAAAAUUAAUGAAGAAAAUGCCUGAAGUGACUGUUUUGAAUAUGUUUGAUAAUAUAAAAUUUAUAUAAAGAUUGCUUCAAAACUAACAGAAAUUAAAAGUUUUUUAUCAUGAAAUUUCUAUAAUUUAAUCAAUAUAAAUAUAAGUUAACAUCUUUGUUGCCACAAACUAUUUUUAUAUCUACUAUACUAUUAUUGUAAGAUAAUUAUUAAACAAAUGUAAAUAAAAAUGGUAAUGAUAUGUAGAUAUCAUGAUUAAAACAAUCAUUUGUUAAAGAUA